rfam:Ornithorhynchus anatinus chromosome X5, whole genome shotgun sequence.
AGCAGCGUGGCUCAGUGGAAAGAGCCUGGGCAUGGGAGUCAGAGGUCAUGGGUUCAACUCCCAGCUCUGCCA